CACACUAUCAUUAACUGAAUCCAUAGGUUAAUGAGGCGAACCGGGGGAACUGAAACAUCUAAGUACCCCGAGGAAAAGAAAUCAACCGAGAUUCCCCCAGUAGCGGCGAGCGAACGGGGAGGAGCCCAGAGCCUGAAUCAGUGUGUGUGUUAGUGGAAGCGUCUGGAAAGGCGCGCGAUACAGGGUGACAGCCCCGUACACAAAAAUGCACAU
rnacentral:rRNA from 1 species